UACGUAGGGUGCAAGCGUUGUCCGGAAUUAUUGGGCGUAAAGAGCUCGUAGGCGGUUUGUCGCGUCUGCUGUGAAAUCUGGAGGCUCAACCUCCAGCCUGCAGUGGGUACGGGCAGACUAGAGUGCGGUAGGGGAGAUUGGAACUCCUGGUGUAGCGGUGGGAUGCGCAGAUAUCAGGAGGAACACCGGUGGCGAAGGCGGAUCUCUGGGCCGAUACUGACGCUGAGGAGCGAAAGCGUGGGGAGCGAACAGG
rnacentral:rRNA from 1 species